rnacentral:rRNA from 1 species
UUGUCGGGUAAGUUCCGACCCGCACGAAAGGCGUAACGAUCUGGGCACUGUCUCAACGAGAGACUCGGUGAAAUUAUAGUACCUGUGAAGAUGCAGGUUACCCGCGACAGGACGGAAAGACCCCGUGGAGCUUUACUGUAGCCUGAUAUUGAAUUUUGGUACAGCUUGUACAGGAUAGGUAGGAGCCUUGGAAGCCGGAGCGCUAGCUUCGGUGGAGGCGUCGGUGGGAUACUACCCUGGCUGUAUUGAAAUUCUAACCCGCACCCCUGAUCGGGGUGGGAGACAGUGUCAGGUGGGCAGUUUGACUGGGGCGGUCGCCUCCUAAAGAGUAACGGAGGCGCCCAAAGGUUCCCUCAGAAUGGUUGGAAAUCAUUCGUAGAGUGUAAAGGCACAAGGGAGCUUGACUGCGAGACCUACAAGUCGAGCAGGGACGAAAGUCGGGCUUAGUGAUCCGGUGGUUCCGCAUGGAAGGGCCAUCGCUCAACGGAUAAAAGCUACCCCGGGGAUAACAGGCUUAUCUCCCCCAAGAGUCCACAUCGACGGGGAGGUUUGGCACCUCGAUGUCGG